AUUGAACGCUGGCGGCAGGCCUAAUACAUGCAAGUCGAGCGGAUGAAGGAAGAUUGCUCCUGGUUUCCGCGGCGGACGGGCGAGUGAUUCCUAAGAAUCUGCCCGGCAGUGGGUGAUAACGUCCGGAAACGGGCGCUAAUACCGCAUACGUCCCGAGGGAGAAAGUGGGGGAUCUUUGGACCUAACGCUAUUUGAUGAGACUAGGACGGGUUAGCUAGUUGGUGGGGUAAAGGCAUACCAAGGCGACGAUCCGUAGCUGGUCUGAGAGGAUGAUCAGACACACUGGAACUGAGACACGGUCCAGACUACUACGGGAGGCAGCAGUGGGGAAUAUUGGACAAUGGGCGAAAGCCUGAUCCAGCCAUGCCGCGUGUGUGAAGAAGGUCUUCGGAUUGGAAAGCUCUUUAAGUUGGGAAGAAGAGCAGUAAGUUAAUACCUUGCUGUUUUGACGGUACCAAAAGAAUAAGCACCGGCUAACUUCGUG
rnacentral:rRNA from 1 species